AGAGUUUGAUCCUGGCUCAGGACGAACGCUGGCGGCGUGCUUAACACAUGCAAGUGGAGCGACGAACCGGGCUUCGGCCCGGGGCAAAGCCGCGAACGGGUGAGUAACACGUGGGUAACCUGCCCCGAUGACUGGGACAACCCGGGGAAACUCGGGCUAAUACCGGAUGUGCUCCCACCACACCAGUGGUGUGAGUAAAGGUAGCUUCGGCCUCCGCAUCGGGAUGGGCCCGCGGCCCAUUAGCUAGUUGGUGGGGUAAAGGCCUACCAAGGCGACGAUGGGUAGCUGGUCUGAGAGGACGAUCAGCCACACUGGGACUGAGACACGGCCCAGACUCCUACGGGAGGCAGCAGUGGGGAAUCUUGCGCAAUGCGCGAAAGCGUGACGCAGCAACGCCGCGUGGGGGAAGAAGGCCUUCGGGUUGUAAACCCCUUUCAGUUGGGACGAAGCUCCGGCCGUUAACAGCGGACCGGAGUGACGGUACCUUCAGAAGAAGCCCCGGCUAACUACGUGCCAGCAGCCGCGGUAAUACGUAGGGGGCAAGCGUUGUCCGGAAUCAUUGGGCGUAAAGAGCGCGUAGGCGGUCUGUUAUGUCGGAUGUGAAAGCCCUCGGCUCAACUGAGGAAGUGCAUCCGAAACUGGCAGGCUAGAGUACUAAAGAGGGUCGCGGAAUUCCCGGUGUAGAGGUGAAAUUCGUAGAUAUCGGGAGGAACACCGGUGGCGAAGGCGGCGACCUGGGUAGAUACUGACGCUGAGACGCGAAAGCGUGGGGAGCGAACAGGAUUAGAUACCCCCGUAGUCC
rnacentral:rRNA from 1 species